GCAAGAGGUGUUACCGGCUGCGAAGGGGGUCCGGUGGGAAUGCACCGGGUUCUGCUGACCCCAAUCCAGACUUUCUCAGACUGGGGUCAGCAGCUUCUUGAGAACUUUGAAAAAAAAUUUCAUUUUCGAACAUCUAAAAAUGCAUUUAAACGCAUUCUGUGUAGCUGCCCAUCCCCAUAGCUCCCCAUCCCACUGGAGAUUUCAAAUCCGGUGUGGAUUUCUUUCUAAUUCGUCAUGCCAGGGCCAACAGCAAAAUGUUGAUGGUCAUGAGAGACUGGAUAAAGAGGUGGCCAGAGGUGAUCAGGGCCCAGGGCAUGAACACGGCUCCUUGGGGGUUCAGGGACAAGCAGAGGGAAACUGAGUCAAGACAUGACAGAGCUGAGAGCACCUUUUCCCAGCAGCUCGGAGGGUUUCUACAUCGCUGUAUCCACCAGCCCGUCACCUGCCAUCUUGAGGGAGUGCCACCCAAUGCCACCCAUGCCUGGGAGCCGCAAGGCUGGGAGGAGACCCUGGGUGGGCAGUGAGGAUCCAUGCUUGGAGAGAAUCAGUUUGUGAAGGGGACUGAGGGUCGUAGCCAGGUCUCCAGAACAUCCGAGUCCCCAACAGCCUGACCAAAUGAGGACUUUUUCAGUAACUGCGGCCGCCUUUGCCUGCGUACUGGGUGCUAGCUGACCACUGCUGUCCUCCAACACCCAGCGAGAGAAGUAUUGCUCUUUCUACUCAGCAGAUGAAGAGUGGUUCAGAGACGUGAAGUAAGCUGCUCAAAGCACCCAGCAUUCUAACCAACUCUGUCCUCUCUGCAGCCAGGAAUCUUCCGGUUUCACUCAGCCCCCUCUGGGGUGGAGCAGCCCACCUCCCAGUACUUCUCAGAGCCCAGGAAAACAAAGUCCCAGGAGCUUUCCAGUCAGCGUCCUGGAGAAACCAGAGGUCGGGCCCUCCGUGAGUCUGGCGAGGAGCCCAGGGAAGGUGAUGGUUCACAGAAAGGCUGAGGAUAAGCAGGAGUUGGCCAGACAGAGAUGAGA